CAGAGCAACAAGCCCACUGGCGCCCUGGCCGGCCCCCACCCUGCCUGCCAGCCCUGCACAUUGAGGCCUGGCUGCCGGUAAAAAGAAAGGGCUCCUAUCUCUGAUUCCUCAGGGCCUCCGAUAAGAAAUGUCAUCCCUUGCUGGGUAAUAUUACCCGCCCGAUAAGAAUCUCUAUCAAGCUCAAACAUAUGGCUGGCUACAGAACACAGAGCCCAGCAGAGCAGGAUAAUUUAUUUGCUUAAGCUGAAAGCCCUGGGCGGCCGAGAGAAGUGCAAUGAAUAAAAGAGGAAGAGCCAAAUUAUAACUUCCCUGACUUGCAGUGGGGAUUCCCCCCACUCCACCCCCUGCACCCCCCGGGAAGGCUGAGGCACCUGAGGACAACACGGGGCCCUCCUGGCUUUCCUCCCUACAGGACAAACACUUUCCCCUGGUCUUCCCUCAAAGGGCACUUUCACUUGCGCUAGCCAUCUGAGCGAAUCCUCGAGAUCAACCUCGAGAGAAGCACUUUUAGCUUCCUUUUACAGAUCAGGAAAUCGAGAUCCAGCAAGGUUAAGUGACACGGCCAAGGUCAUAGAGGCAGCCAAGCAAGAGCUCGGGAUGCGGAGCCCAUCAGGUCUGACUCGCCAGCGUGCUGCUGGGGCGCCUGGCUCCUAGGACCAAAUUCGCCAGCGAGGUCAAACGUGCCCAACUUACACUGACGGUGUCACUACACAUUACUGUCUCCAAGGUCCCCUUCCAGCCUCGCCCCAGGUUGUGUGUCUCUACAACCUGGAAUAACGAGGAAGCUUUGCAGAGCACAGAGAUUCAAGAGAGAGAGGAGGGGAGGCCGGGCUAGAAUGCAGGAGAGAGAGAGGGGUCGUCUGGGGCUUUCCCCUCAGCCACCUGUGUGCAUGAAGCACCGCCGGUAGAAGGAAGUUGUAGAAAGAACCCCCCCUCUCCCGCCCCCCGUUCAUGGCUUCGUGUAUUCACACAUACUGACGGAUGGCGACCAGGUGUCUGGCCCUGGGACUGGCCUGGGCAACAGUACUACCAAUGGACAGAGCCGUCCUGCCCUCACGGAGCGGCCUGGUUCCUGGGCCGUACAGAGCUCCAAUUGCUGGCGACUGCUGCUCUGCAAGUGACCCCUGUGACCACCUUCAAGAUGUCACAAUAAAAAGAAGCUGAAGGUAUAGAGGAUGAAAGGAAAAGCCAAGACACGGCUCCU
rnacentral:lncRNA from 1 species